rnacentral:miRNA from 10 species
GUAGCUGAGGGGAUGGUAGACCGGUGACGUGCACUUCAUUUACGAUGUAGGUCACUCGUUUGACUAUCCACCAGCGCC